CGAUGUGGUAUAUAUAAAUCAAGCAAUUAGUACACUGAAAUCCUUGGUUCAGGGAUCAAACCAAGCAGCAGCCAAUUAAGCACCUAAGCAGCACAUGAACCAACAAUCAAGAGGCACGUCGACAAACCAUUCGAAUCUCUAAAUAUCGAAAUCUAGGCGGAUAGCCCCUCCACGUGGCGCCAUGCGAUUCCAGUGUUAGACCCCCUGCUGCAGCCGUCGGAUCGUAGAUCUACGGUGAGAAAACGCUGCGAUAGACCUCAUUGUAAUAAUGGGUGAUUUUAGGGUCUCCUCUCCGCCGCCGUGCUGCUCUCCCCAAAUGACGUCGCCCCCUCUUCCUCCUACGCACGCUCUACCUCCGCCUCCGGCGUCGGAUGCCGAGCCUCCCACGUGCCGGCACGCCGUUCUGUCCGCCGCCGUCCCCCCCUCCUCGUCGCUAGAUGUGGAGAGGACUAGAGGAGCUUUGUGGCAGAGAGACCAGCUUCGACGAUGCCGUCACUUCUCCCCGGAGUCUAAAGAAAAUGGCGUCAUCAUCCAUCAGCAGUCUGGAGCUCAUUAUUGCGCCGAUUUAGGUCAUCAAGGUGCUGUGAUCCAGACGCCAUUCUUCACAACAGGAAUCUGGUUUGGCUUCAGCUACUGUUCUUCGUCGCCGUUGUUCUUGUUGUCGUAAUACUAACUUUGUAUUUGGAUCAUGUGGCGUUUCUUUCAGCAGUUUAUGCAAUACAGUGAGAAUGUCAGUACCUUCUAAGUGUUUAAUUAAGCCUUGGUAGGUUGGUAAAAGUUGGUGAAAAGAAGCGUAUUGUACAGUUAUAAAUUGGAGUAUGUUGAUGUAGGGAUCAUGAAGGGUCUCUAUCUUCGUCUGGUAGCAGCACGGACUCGCAUUGUUUGAUGGAGAAAAAGGAUUGGAGCCAUGCAAGCACACAAAAUUUGUCUACAGAUUUGGAUGAGGUCACAUACUAGGUUAUUCUUUCAACCAAAGUAAUGCAGGCUGCAUCAAGAGGUUAAAACUAGUCAAUGCAGGGAUAACAAAGAUGGAUCCAAAUUCCUGAUACCUUCCGUUCACUGGUUCGCAACUACUGAAUGUCUGAAUCCUUAGAUGUCCUAGCUAGUCAUGUAAGGUCUCAUUUUUUUGUUGAACAUGUGGAAUGUAUUUCUAGGUAUGCAUUUUAUAGGUGAGGGAUGCAAAGUUCUGCACCUACCAUCUUCUCUCUGAAUUGUACUAUCUUCAUUCAUAUAUCAAUUAAUCUGCUAUUUAUUUUCUAAAAAUUCUAUUAUAGAGCCCCAUCAAUCUUUCUACUGAAAGGUAAUAAGUGUAGAUUGUCAUUCCGUCAGCAGAUUGGCAAGGCUAGAUGAGAAUGACAGUACAUGACAUCAAUUUUUGUUGAAACAAGAACUUGAUGAAUUCAUCCUCAUGCGUAUUCGCGAUGUUCAUGUAACAGUCUCCAGUCUCCACACACUAGAAGAUUGGGAUUACUCAAGAGCCAUCCAGCCAUUUUCAGAACCCAGAAGAGAGAACUUGUAUCUAACAUCUACCUGAACUAGUAAUUUUUCAUCUAUCUAGUGUAAUGAGAAGGGACCUUUCGGAAUCAGAUAAGCUUCAUUAAUCAUAUAGAAGCAUAAUAGAUUCGAAGGAUAGGGGAAUAAAUCUUAUGUCACCACAUCUUGAGUCAACGGUUAUGCAGCUUUUCGUCAACUUUGGAUGGAGAUUCACAAACAGAAUUCAAUAAUCAUGUGAUCUUUUCUGUUGUGUGUGCUCCUGUUUUUUUAGGUGUGUUUUUAUGAAUUGUUGAGAUUAGUUGUGUUUGGUUGAAUUGUUAUAAUAAUUGGUUGUAGCUUUUCGAGCAAAUCUCGGGAUUAUAUUCCAUUAUCUAUAAAAAUAUCACCACAUCUAAAAGAACAUAUAGAAGAAAAUGUCAUUUUAUCACA